rnacentral:lncRNA from 1 species
AUUCUUCCCAUGCUUUCUCGUUGUUUUGGACCAAUCUUUGAACGAUUCCAUUUCGGUAUUGCCACCGUCCCAUUCAGCAAGAAACUUCAUGCAAAAGACUCCACAACUGUCUUUAUCACAUUGAUUAGGCAUCUUUGGUGUUUCCCACUUGAAUGUGCUAAACUGGAAAGGCAUUGUGAUUUUUCUUUUCAUAUACAAUUCAGU